AACAAGAUUAUGAUUCAACUGUACAUCACCUAUGUGAUGAACAAACUUAACAAAAGCAUCAGAUAAACAUAUUGGUGUAGGUUUAAUAAUCUGUGUGGGUGAAUGAAUUAGUGUAAUAUCUACACACAUAUGGCUAGAUACCCCUACGUCUAUUAUCCAAGUACCUAUUUCUAAACAAUCAAUUGAAUUUAGUGCAUGUAAAACAACAAAACCUGCAAAAUCCUUUAAAUGAGCUAAGUUGACACUUUCAGCUUGAACAUUUUUGUUCUUCAUGAAUUUACUGAACUCCUUUUAGAUCAUGUCACUCAACUUUGCUCCCCAAUUAUCGUUCACUGCAUUCUGUAGCGUCUC
rnacentral:lncRNA from 1 species